rnacentral:rRNA from 1 species
CCUACGGGAGGCAGCAGUGAGGAAUAUUGGGCAAUGGACGAGAGUCUGAACCAGCCAAGUAGCGUGAAGGAUGACUGCCCUAUGGGCUGUAAACUUCUUUUAUAAAGGAAUAAAACGAGGCACGUGUCCCUUUUUGCAUGUACUUUAUGAAUAAGGAUCGGCUAACUCCGUGCCAGCAGCCGCGGUAAUACGGAGGAUCCGAGCGUUAUCCGGAUUUAUUGGGUUUAAAGUGAGCGUAGAUGGGUUGUUAAGUCAGUUGUGAAAGUUUGCGGCUCAACCGUAAAAUUGCAAUUGAUACUGGCAGUCUUGAGUACAGAUGAGGUAGGUGGAAUUCGUGGUGUAGCGGUGAAAUGCGUAGAUAUCACGAAGAACCCCGAUUGCGAAGGCAGCUUACUAAACUGUGACUGACAUUGAUGCUCGAAAGUGUGGGUAUCAAACAGGAUUAGAUACCCCGGUAGUC